rnacentral:rRNA from 1 species
GACGAACGCUGGCGGCGUGCUUAACACAUGCAAGUCGAACGGAAAGGCCCUGCUUUUGUGGGGUGCUCGAGUGGCGAACGGGUGAGUAACACGUGAGUAACCUGCCCUUGACUUUGGGAUAACUUCAGGAAACUGGGGCUAAUACCCGAUAGGAGCUCCUGCUGCAUGGUGGGGGUUGGAAAGUUUCGGCGGUUGGGGAUGGACUCGCGGCUUAUCAGCUUGUUGGUGGGGUAGUGGCUUACCAAGGGUUUGACGGGUAGCCGGCCUGAGAGGGUGACCGGCCACAAUGGGACUGAGGUACGGCCCAGACUCCUACGGGAGGCAGCAGUGGGGAAUAUUGCACAAUGGGCGGAAGCCUGAUGCAGCAACGCCGCGUGCGGGAUGACGGCCUUCGGGUUGUAAACCGCUUUCGCCUGUGACGAAGCGUGAGUGACGGUAAUGGGUAAAGAAGCACCGGCUAACUACGUG